CCAGACCGCCAGCUAAGGUCCCAAAGUCAUGGUUAAGUGGGAAACGAUGUGGGAAGGCCCAGACAGCCAGGAUGUUGGCUUAGAAGCAGCCAUCAUUUAAAGAAAGCGUAAUAGCUCACUGGUCGAGUCGGCCUGCGCGGAAGAUGUAACGGGGCUAAACCAUGCACCGAAGCUGCGGCAGCGACACUAAGUGUUGUUGGGUAGGGGAGCGUUCUGUAAGCCUGUGAAGGUGUACUGUGAGGUAUGCUGGAGGUAUCAGAAGUGCGAAUGCUGACAUAAGUAACGAUAAAGCGGGUGAAAAGCCCGCUCGCCGGAAGACCAAGGGUUCCUGUCCAACGUUAAUCGGGGCAGGGUGAGUCGACCCCUAAGGCGAGGCCGAAAGGCGUAGUCGAUGGGAAACAGGUUAAUAUUCCUGUACUUGGUGUUACUGCGAAGGGGGGACGGAGAAGGCUAUGUUGGCCGGGCGACGGUUGUCCCGGUUUAAGCGUGUAGGCUGGUUUUCCAGGCAAAUCCGGAAAAUCAAGGCUGAGGCGUGAUGACGAGGCACUACGGUGCUGAAGCAACAAAUGCCCUGCUUCCAGGAAAAGCCUCUAAGCAUCAGGUAACAUCAAAUCGUACCCCAAACCGACACAGGUGGUCAGGUAGAGAAUACCAAGGCGCUUGAGAGAACUCGGGUGAAGGAACUAGGCAAAAUGGUGCCGUAACUUCGGGAGAAGGCACGCUGAUAUGUAGGUGAAGCGACUUGCUCGUGGAGCUGAAAUCAGUCGAAGAUACCAGCUGGCUGCAACUGUUUAUUAAAAACACAGCA
rnacentral:rRNA from 1 species